GACGAACGCUGGCGGCGUGCUUAACACAUGCAAGUCGAACGGAAAGGCCCUGCUUUUGUGGGGUGCUCGAGUGGCGAACGGGUGAGUAACACGUGAGUAACCUGCCCUUGACUUUGGGAUAACUUCAGGAAACUGGGGCUAAUACCGGAUAGGAGCUCCUGCUGCAUGGUGGGGGUUGGAAAGUUUCGGCGGUUGGGGAUGGACUCGCGGCUUAUCAGCUUGUUGGUGGGGUAGUGGCUUACCAAGGCUUUGACGGGUAGCCGGCCUGAGAGGGUGACCGGCUACAGUGGGACAGGGGUACGGCCAAGAGUGAUACGGGAGGAAGCAGUGGGGAAUAGUGGACAAUGGGCGGAAGCCUGAUGCAGCAACGCCGCGUGCGGGAUGACGGCCUUCGGGGUGUAAAACGCUUUCGCCUGUGACGAAGCGUGAGUGACGGUAAUGGGUAAAGAAGCACCGGCUAAUUACGU
rnacentral:rRNA from 1 species